GACGGAGGGUGCAAGCGUUGUUCGGAUUGACUGGGCGUAAAGGGCGUGUAGGCGGUCGGUCAAGUCUGGUGUGAAAGCCCGGGGCUCAGCUCCGGAAGUGCAUCGGAAACUAGCUGGCUGGAGCGCGAUAGAGGAGGGCGGAAUUCCUGGUGUAGCGGUGAAAUGCGUAGAUAUCAGGAGGAACACCGGCGGCGAAGGCGGCCCUCUGGAUCGUUGCUGACGCUGAGACGCGAAAGCGUGGGGAGCGAACAGG
rnacentral:rRNA from 1 species